ACGGAUAAGAGCGGUGUUGGUGGCUCACUUUUUUACCGUAAGAGUACUUCUAACUACUCUGAAUUUGUUUCAAACUUUAAAAUGCGCUCUUUAUCAGUUAUGAAUACACAAACUGUACCAAAUAUCAAGUGAACUCUCGGGAUCAGUGUAAACUUUCGUUAUCACUUCGUUCAGAAUGAUUGUUUAAUAAUUCAACGUUUAAUAACAUUGAUAUACUGCGAAGUGAACUGAUUACAUGUAACAACUCGUACGAUUUUUUCAGUUCCACCAAACCCAAAGCUUUAAAUAAUGCGUAGUAUUUUAAAAGCUAGUAGUAUUAAAACCCUUGUGAAUUAUUUGGGCAUCAACGAAAUCAUUUUAGGAGCGCUAUGCCUAAUCCACUCCAUUUCGAUGAUCCGCAACUUUUCAGAGACAGCAGAAGUUCCCCAGAGUGACAUCUUCUUCUACGACUUUGGACCCUACUACUAUUUCCUGCUAGUGGCUGCCGGGUUGUCGCUGCUUAAGGGACCUCUUUUAAUAUACAGCGUGAAAAAGGAAAAUAAAUCAGGUCUUUUAAUCUACUUUGUACUCACUGUGUUUAUCUUGUUUAUAGCGAAGGGCUUCAUUAUUGAAAGAGGGAUCUAUACACGAGAGCAAAACGCCAAAAUUGUUGACGGAAAUUACACUUCUCAUUUUAUACAACGACGUCAGCGGUCUUUUAAUUUUCAUUACAUAUUUUUUUAUCCUUUUGUGUUUACGCUUUAUUGGUUUUUCCAACUGUGCGUGUUUUUGCAUUAUAGAAAUUUGAGCACAGGAGAGGGUGUGGAAGUGGGAAUUCCGCUGGAAAUCGUUUAGAAAAUAGUGUAAUAGGGACGAUUAUUUAUCAUUGUGGAAUGUGUAAACUCGAACUAAAUAAAGCUAUUGACAUACCAUACUUAUAAUAA